GUGAGGAAUUUUCCGCAAUGGGCGAAAGCCUGACGGAGCAAUGCCGCGUGAAGGAUGAAGGCCUAUGGGUUGUAAACUUCUUUUCUCAGAAAAGAAUUAUGACGGUAUCUGAGGAAUAAGCAUCGGCUAACUCUGUGCCAGCAGCCGCGGUAAGACAGAGGAUGCAAGCGUUAUCCGGAAUGAUUGGGCGUAAAGCGUCUGUAGGUUGUUUAAAAAGUAUUCUGUCAAAGAUUAGGGCUUAACCCUAGAUAGGCAGAAUAAACUUUUAAGCUAGAGUUUGGUAGAGGCAGAGGGAAUUCCCGGUGGAGCGGUGAAAUGCGUAGAUAUCGGGAGGAACACCUAAGGCGAAGGCACUCUGCUGGGCCAAUACUAACACUGAGAGACGAAAGCGAGGGGAGCAAAUGGGAUUAGAUACCCCAGUAGUCC
rnacentral:rRNA from 1 species